rnacentral:rRNA from 1 species
UACGUAGGGUGCAAGCGUUGUCCGGAAUUAUUGGGCGUAAAGAGCUCGUAGGUGGUUUGUCACGUCGUCUGUGAAAUUCCGGGGCUUCACUCCGGGCGUGCAGGCGAUACGGGCAUAACUUGAGUACUGUAGGGGAGACUGGAAUCCCUGGUGUAGCGGUGAAAUGCGCAGAUAUCAGGAGGAACACCGGUGGCGAAGGCGGGUCUCUGGGCAGUAACUGACGCUGAGGAGCGAAAGCAUGGGUAGCGAACAGGAUUAGAUACCCGUGUA